rnacentral:rRNA from 1 species
CCUACGGGCGGCAGCAGUCGAGAAUCAUUCACAAUGGGGGAAACCCUGAUGGUGCGACGCCGCGUGAGGGAAUGAAGGUCUUCGGAUUGUAAACCCCUGUCAUGUGGGAGCAAAUUAAAAAGAUAGUACCACAAGAGGAAGAGACGGCUAACUCUGUGCCAGCAGCCGCGGUAAUACAGAGGUCUCAAGCGUUGUUCGGAAUCACUGGGCGUAAAGCGUGCGUAGGCUGUUUCGUAAGUCGUGUGUGAAAGGCGCGGGCUCAACCCGCGGACGGCACAUGAUACUGCGAGACUAGAGUAAUGGAGGGGGAACCGGAAUUCUCGGGGUAGCAGUGAAAUGCGGAGAUAUCGAGAGGAACACUCGGGGCGAAGGCGGGUUCCUGGACAUUAACUGACGCUGAGGCACGAAGGCCAGGGGAGCGAAAGGGAUUAGAUACCCGUGUAGUC